rnacentral:rRNA from 1 species
UGGGGAAUAUUGCACAAUGGGCGCAAGCCUGAUGCAGCCAUGCCGCGUGUGUGAAGAAGGCCUUCGGGUUGUAAAGCACUUUCAGCGAGGAGGAAGGUGGUGAGCUUAAUACGCUCAUCAAUUGACGUUACUCGCAGAAGAAGCACCGGCUAACUCCGUGCCAGCAGCCGCGGUAAUACGGAGGGUGCAAGCGUUAAUCGGAAUUACUGGGCGUAAAGCGCACGCAGGCGGUUUGUUAAGUCAGAUGUGAAAUCCCCGGGCUCAACCUGGGAACUGCAUUUGAAACUGGCAAGCUAGAGUCUCGUAGAGGGGGGUAGAAUUCCAGGUGUAGCGGUGAAAUGCGUAGAGAUCUGGAGGAAUACCGGUGGCGAAGGCGGCCCCCCUGGACGAAGACUGACGCUCAGGUGCGAAAGCGUGGGGCAGCAAACAGGAUUAGAUACCCUGGUAGUCCACGCUGUAAAACGAUGUCGAUUUGGAGGUUGUGCCCUUGAGGCGUGGCUUCCGGAGCUAACGCGUUAAAUCGACCGCCNGGGGAGUACGGCCGCAAGGUUAAAACUUAAAUGAAUUGAC